GCCGCCCGCCCGGGAGCGCUUCCGACGGGUACCGAGCGGGUCUCGCACCCGCAGCGAACGGGCCGGGGUUCACCGGGAGGCAAUGAGAAUUCCAGUGGCGAUGGAGACGGGGAGAUCUCUGCGACACGCACUUUGACAGACCGAUUAGAAGGAAGCCUCGGUGUGAUUUGCUAAAACCCUGCAGUCCAUGGGGAUGAGGGAAGUUCGGACAGAAUGAGCACUGACAGCGAAUGCUUUUGAGUAAUGCUCCAAGGAGCUGUGAGGAGCACACAAGGAGCUCACUCCAAGGAGCAGCGAAAGGAGUGAGCUCCACCUGCAAGGAGCCAAGCAAACCUGACAGCUUCACAUGCUCAAAAACAGUCAAAACACUGUUGCAAAUGCAAAAUGAAAUUCUGCAGUACCUGUCACCAGAAAAUUGCCCCCUUUGAGAAUCCAUGAGCAACAGUUCAGCAUGCAUGCUGGGAAGAUAAGGUAAGUGUCUAGUACAUGCAGGAAAGAGUUCAUAAUGGGACAGGGUGACUGCCUUGGCUGAAGUACAGGUCUGGGGAGUGGUGAGCCUGGGACAGGGGGGCAUGAAAGCAUCUGGUAUAGUGGGGUUCAGGCCAAGACUCCUGGCUUGAGACCAAGCUGGCAGCUGGCACCUGCACAGGCCCUGCAGUGCUGUACAGAAUAUCUCACAAUGGAUGUGUGACAAGGCAAUGCUCCAAGCCAAACAGAAGACAGCGAGCUCCUAUGACAAGAACUCUGUGCUGGAGUUGAGAAUGGAGGAGUAUGCUGAGCAGGAAUACCUUGCUGUAGCUGGGGAAACGUGUUAUGAGAGCAUCCUGUCCUCUCUCUGCUCAUCUGACCAACAGCAACUCCAGAACUUCUGUGAAGCAGUUUAGACCAUCUGCAAGACCUGGGUUGCACUCUCCAGUGUGCUGGGAAUUGUAUCUGCAGCACUUUGGGCUGAAGCAGCUUGUGAGCUGUGACUGAGUGGAGGACCUGCCCAGACAGACCUGAACUGCUGCUCAGGAUCAACAGAUUAUUCCAACAGGAUAUGUCAGCCAGUCUAAAACAUGCAAUGGAUGGAAUUACCUUCACAACUGAAGACAAGGAAGAAAAAUAUCCAUUGCUGUGGACCCCAAAGAAAAUGAAGUAUACACAAAAGUAAACACACCCAGUGCAUGUUGGGGAAAGCAGAGACAUCACAUAAGGGUGUGCAUUUCUUCAGGGCUACAGGAUCAAACCUGACAAUCAUGGUAAUUUAUCUUCCUGGCCAGUACAUGACCCCACUGCAGUACACAGACUCAGUAUCAUGAUCCUCACAUAGUGCAUCAUUUCUGGCUGAAAUAAAGUGCAUCCUUAAAAAAAGACCUAGUCUUUUUUAGCACAAGAGACAAAAAUGGUGACACAGAGUCAAAUCACAAGCACAUCUGACUGAUUUACCCUCUCCCUGACACUGUCUGCUUAGAAAAAAAAAAUCAUUAAAAUAGGGUAGACGAAGUGCUCCCUCCCUGGCAGCUCUCCUAAUGCUUACAGAUUUGUAAUUCAGAGACCUGCUGUUCCAGAGGUUUUGGCUUUGUCUUUUAACAGCCUUUGAUAGAUUUCUCUUUUGCAAAUUUCAUCCAUGGUAGAGUUACAGUCAUGAAAUUUAAGGCCAUGAAGGACUUACUCUACCCACUUAUAUUUGACAAGUAAUUUCACACUUGCCUCCAAUGAUCUCUGUUACACAAACCAAGUAAAUUGUAGCACAUGGGAAAAGUUACCACUGUAAUUCCACUAGCUACUCACUUUCAGCACUGAAAGCAUGUGCCCGUUUUCCUUUGGAAUUAAAUCUGCUGCAGUCAUGCCUUACCCCUGGACAAGUAAAAACUGCUUUAGUAUCCAAUGUUUUCACUUUGUACAUGUACUCACACCCCCUAAUCAGAUCACUCACAACAUUCUAAGAGUUCAUAGACUCAUAGGAAGGUUUGGGUUGGGAGGGACUUUUAAAGGCCAUCUAGUCCCACCCCACCAAGGACAGGGACAUUUCCAACUCAUAAUAAGGUCACUCCAAGUCCUGUUCAACCUGGCCUCAGAGACCUCCCUGGAUGAGGUUCUUUGGGCAAUCUAUGCCAGUGCUUUACGGCCUCAUUUUAAAAAUGGUCUCUUACCUAGUCUGCAUCUACCCUCUUUUAGUUUAAAACUGUUAAACCUAGUUUAAAGUCAUUACCCCUUGUCUUACAAGAGUUCUGCAUCUCACAUUGUAAAAUACUUAACAAUCUUGAGGUAAGUUUUGUGAACCACAAACGUUCUUCUUUGUUCCCUAGAAGCCUUAAAAAUAGGCUGUGUGCUAUGCCACCAGGGCCCUUCUUGCUGUCUCACAUCAACAGCAUCUGUUUCCCCCAGAUUGUCUACCUGUAAAGAUCUGUUAUAUCAUGUCUUAAAUCUAUACUUUAUAGGGCUGGGACAGAGCCUCGAUAUUAGUGUCUGAAACAGUGGGUCCAAGAAAAAUAA